rnacentral:lncRNA from 1 species
UUCGUUUUCCUUCAACGAUAUCAUAAAACACAUAUUGAAUCGAAAUUUAUAAAAAGAGAUACAAUUAUCAUUUAGUUAAAUAACAUAAAUAAAUCGUAAAAAUAUUCAAUAGAUGAUAACUAGGGUUGAGACCAUAUAUCUCGAUUACAUUAGAAAAAACACACACACAACUCAAUUGCCACCAAAAGAUGGCAUCAUUUAUUAUACAUAGUAGUCUUAAUUAGUAGUAUAUGAAUAUAAUAAAAUGAUAAAAUAUAACUCACUUUGGAUGAUCACAUAUGAGCACCUCCGUGGCAACACUUGAAGCUAAUACCAGUCUCCAUGAAACGAGGGCAUUCAGGACAAUUCACAAUCAUAGGAAUCCAUCCACUGAAUCCAGGAAGAAUUACUCGAUCACAUUGGUGACUACUGAAAGCCAAUUCAUUGAAGUAUUCUCUAAACACAUCAGGGAAAGCCUUUAUCCUCAAAUUUUGCUUCCAUUUGGGGAAAUCUUCUAGUAAUUUCAAUAUCAAAAUCCCACGGCCAACCAGCACUGGGG